UGAGCAACCUGCCCUUGACACUGGAAUAACAGUUGGAAACAGCUGCUAAUACCGGGUAUGACCUGUCACCGCAUGGUGGUGGGUGGAAAGCCCAGGCGGUCAAGGAUGGGCUCGCGGCCUAUCAGCUAGUUGGUGAGGUAAUGGCUCACCAAGGCUUCGACGGGUAGCCGGCCUGAGAGGGCGACCGGCCACACUGGGACUGAGAUACGGCCCAGACUCCGUACGGGAGCAG
rnacentral:rRNA from 1 species